AUUGAACGCUGGCGGCAUGCCUUACACAUGCAAGUCGAACGGCAGCAUGGAGAGCUUGCUCUCUGAUGGCGAGUGGCGAACGGGUGAGUAAUGCAUCGGAACGUACCGUGUAAUGGGGGAUAACGUAGCGAAAGUUACGCUAAUACCGCAUACGACCUGAGGGUGAAAGCAGGGGAUCGCAAGACCUUGCGUUAUACGAGCGGCCGAUGUCAGAUUAGCUAGUUGGUGGGGUAAAGGCUCACCAAGGCGACGAUCUGUAGCGGGUCUGAGAGGAUGAUCCGCCACACUGGGACUGAGACACGGCCCAGACUCCUACGGGAGGCAGCAGUGGGGGAUUUUGGACAAUGGGGGCAACCCUGAUCCAGCCAUGCCGCGUGAGUGAAGAAGGCCUUCGGGUUGUAAAGCUCUUUCGGCCGGGAAGAAAUCGCACAGGCUAAUACUCUGUGUGGAUGACGGUACCGGCAUAAGAAGCACCGGCUAACUACGUGCCAGCCGCCGCAGUAA
rnacentral:rRNA from 1 species